CACGUAGGGGGCGAGCGUUGUCCGGAUUCAUUGGGCGUAAAGGGCGCGCAGGCGGCCCGGAAAGUCGGAUGUGAAAACUCGGGGCUCAACCCCGAGCGUGCACCCGAUACUGCCGGGCUUGAGGCAGGUAGGGGAGAUCGGAAUUCCUGGUGUAGCGGCGAAAUGCGCAGAUAUCAGGAGGAACACCGGUGGCGAAGGCGGAUCUCUGGGCCUGUCCUGACGCUGAGGCGCGAAAGCUAGGGGAGCGAACAGG
rnacentral:rRNA from 1 species